GGGCUGGUUUGUCGUUUGUCUGCUAGUGAUGUGUGGGACUCUCCUCACUUCACUUCCCUUCGUCCCUCUUCAAGGGUUUCUCUUGUGAUCUCUGCCCAUCUCCCAACAACCUUUCCCUCUCUCAGUACAGCUGCUGAUUUCAAAAUGCUGAGCCCUCUUCUGUAGGAGCCUGUCCCCCUAUCAUAGCUGAUGGAUGGGGUUGGAUGCCUGACCCAAAUUAGCCAAUCAGAGUUUCUCUCCUGAGAAUGUAAAGAGGGACAGAGAUAGGUGGGGACCAAAAGUUAUGGGAGCUGAGCCCUGUGUGGUAGGCAGAAUUUUACAUAGGGCACGUGUAAUAUGAUGAGAAGCUGAGCUUCUCACUCCCACAAUUGCUGUGUUACUUGGCAGGGUUGACCUUAAGAUAAAAGACUCUCAGGUGAGCCUGAUCUAGUCAUCUGGUUCUUUCAAAGCAGCAGGAGUCAGAUUUGAAGCACGAGGGACUUUGCUGGCUUGAAGAUGGAGGGGGUCAUAGGGGAAGAAAGUGCUGUGGCUUCUAGGAGCUGACGGAGUUUCCCAGCUGAGAGCCAUUGAGGAAGUGGACACCUCAAUCUUAUAAUCACAAGGACGUGAUUCAGCCAACAACCUGAAGGAGCUUAGAAGUGGACUUUCCCCUCAAGCUUCCAGAGAAGACCCCAGCAUGGCUGACACCUUGGCUUUGGUCUUGAGCAGAGGACAAAGUUGAGCUGUGCCAGACUUCUGACCUACAGAACUGUUUGACCUUUUUCAAAAUAAAACUUUGGAGGGGAGAAAAAAGAACUGUCAUGAUUUUUAUUCAGGAUAUACAUGCUAGGCUUUUGGGUGCUUUCCUGAAUGGAAUCUUUUGACACUAUGACCAGCUGUAUUGUGAACGGGAUAAUUUUUAAAAAGAUGGAGUUAAAGUAGAGAUGACGUCCCUUACCCAGAGGAAAACGAUGAGUUUCCACUUUGCUGCUAAUGGAAUCGCUAAGCACCCUGUGGCGUGUCGGUGUAUUUGUGAAUGGAGCCUCACUUUGCGCAACGACGGAGUUGCAGUGGCUUCUGUUGAGAGCUUCCCUGGUGGCUCAUACACUAAAGCAUCUGCCUACAAUGCGGGAGACCCAGGUUCAAUCCAUGGAUCAGGAAGAUCUCCUGGAGAAGGAAAUGGAAACCCACUCCAGUAUUCUUGCCUGGAAAAUCCUAUAGACGGAGGAACCUGAUCCCAUUUAGUGAAUCCUGCUUGCUCUACCUUCAGGAUAUAUCCAGCUGCUGCCCCUGCCAUCCUGUCCAGGCCAUUGCCACCUCUUGUCUGAAUCAUCACAGAGCCUCUAACACGUCUCCCUUCAUCCUUUUGCCCCUGACACGGUGGAGAAGAGACCAAACAGCUGCCAGAGAUCCUCAGCAUGGCGCCCUGGGGCACCGAGGACGCGUGUGCUGCUGUGAAAGCAGAAGCCAGAAUUCUCAUGAUGACUUCAGGGCCCCCUGUGACUCGGCCCCUACGUCCUUCUCUUCAUGCCCUCGCACACUUCUCACCUCUCAUUCUAUUCCAGCCACAGGGGUCUGGCUUCCGUUCCCUGAACUCUCAUGCCCUGAGGCCUUUGCACUCGCUGUCCCUUCUGCCCACACUGCUCUUCUCUAGGGUAUCUGACAGCUCACUCCCUCACCUCUUUCAGGGCUUUCAAAUGCCACCUUCCUCAUGGAGCCUUCCUGGUCAUUCUAUUCAUAAUUUCUCCCCUAAUGGAAACCCUUCACCCCACUAUGUCCCUGAUUUCAUUUUCUCUUUAGAACUUAUGAUGAUCUGACAUACAUAUUUAUAUUAUAUAUUUUAUAUACUUAUUGUGUUGAUUGUCUUUUUCCUGCACAAGAAUAUGAAGUCUAUGAAGAAAUAGUUUUUUUAAAAGUUCUAUCCAGGGCUUCCCUGGUGGUUCAGUGGUUAAGAAUCUGCCUGCCAAUGCAGAGGACACAGGUUUGAUGCCUGGUCUGGGAGGAUCCCACAUGCCACUAAGCCCAUGUGCCACAACUACUGAAGCUGGCACACACUAGAGCCUGUGCUCGGCAACAAGAGAAGCCUCUGCAAUGAGAAGCCUGCGCACCACAACUUGAGAGAGCCCACGUGCAGUGAUGAAGACCCCGUGGAC
ensembl:lncRNA